rnacentral:lncRNA from 1 species
GCACUUUAUCUCUGAGACACUUAACUACAUGCUUACCUUAAAUGCAAAGCAGGUGUGUAAGUGCUUUGCUGGAUCAGGGCCAGCUCUGUACAAACCUGACCUCAGAGAGUUAGGAUCCCCUGCUCCUCCUGGUGUGAAGAUGACCUUGCUUACAUCAGAGUCAUGUGGUUGCACUUCAGAAACAGACAGCAUUCAGUGACACACCUAGCAACAGUCAUUCCUGCUGAAGCAGUGAAGUAAUGGACUUCUGGAGAAAAGGGGAAAAACAAGUAGAUGCUGUACACAAGAGAGAGGCCACUGAUUACAGACCACUAAUUUGUUAUGCGCUCUGGCAAAUCAGCAGUGAUUCAUAUGACAAAUAAGGAGAAAAAAUUAACAGCUGUCAUGUUGUGAUGUGUUAAUUUCCUGACAGUCUCUGCACUGAAGCCAAUUACUGAUUUAAGGGCAGGGCAAGAGAGCCCUGUUCAGGCUUCUAAUUAGGCUUCUUCAAGACUAAAAGGAUAAAAGCAAAAAUAAGAGCAAGAGAAUGAAGCAGGUAGC